rnacentral:rRNA from 1 species
CCUACGGGCGGCAGCAGUGGGGAAUAUUGGACAAUGUGCGAAAGCCUGAUCCAGCCAUGCCGCGUGUGUGAAGAAGGCCUUCGGGUUGUAAAGCACUUUCAGUGGGGAAGAAAGCCUUGGGGCUAAUACCCUCGAGGAAGGACAUCACCCACAGAAGAAGCACCGGCUAACUCCGUGCCAGCAGCCGCGGUAAUACGGAGGGUGCGAGCGUUAAUCGGAAUUACUGGGCGUAAAGCGCGCGUAGGCGGUCUGAUAAGCCGGUUGUGAAAGCCCCGGGCUCAACCUGGGAACGGCAUCCGGAACUGUCAGGCUAGAGUGCAGGAGAGGAAGGUAGAAUUCCCGGUGUAGCGGUGAAAUGCGUAGAGAUCGGGAGGAAUACCAGUGGCGAAGGCGGCCUUCUGGACUGACACUGACGCUGAGGUGCGAAAGCGUGGGUAGCAAACAGGAUUAGAUACCCUUGUAGUC